AGGCUGGGCUGCAGUGGCCUCAGCAUCCCUCGGCCCUGCCUUCCCUGCUCCUGUGAGCGGCAGGCCUGGGAAGGAAGAGUUAACCAGAAAUGGAGCGGCGCCGCUCCGGGGCAGGCAGCCUCGCUGCAGAACAGAGCAGCGUUCGUGAGAAGGCAAGUCAUUUCCCGAAACACCGCAGACACACGGCCUCGGGCAGCCUAAAACCUUUGGAGACCAAAAUGGCUCGCAGGGGUUGGAAGUAAUAAGUAUCCUUUGAGUACUGACCUUGUUGGGCUCUGAGGGCUGCUUCUAACCCCUUCCAACUGAGGAGAUUAUGAGCUCAACUCUUGGAAGCCAUGAGAGACAGAGGGAUCCCCAAAGGUCCCAGAUGUAAGUCCCUUGUGUCACUCCUUCUGUGCUGCCUUGGAUAUGAACUUCCUCAUAUGCUGAGAGUUUUAACAUGGCUUUGCUUAGGAAUCCGGCCCAGAUCAAGUGGAUGACAGCAUCUCCCCACGUGACUGGACGAAUGGCUUCAUGUCACCACUGCAUGCCUCAGAGCUGAGACUGUGAUUGUCAGAAAGGAAGGAGACGGAGCCACUUAAAAGUCAAACCCACUCAUGAACUUACUCAAGCCCCACCCUAUGCUCCUGGCUGCUGGCAGGUGCAGGGGGUCAUCCAUAGGUGUUACCCGCACAUCCCUUUCUCCGUGACAUUCUACCUCCAUACCGGAGCACAGGUAGGUGGGCACUGGCUUCAGGGAGGUCCCCGAAAGGUGGUCAGGUUAUCCCUGAGGCCAGAGCCCUUCUCUGCCAUAUCUCUGGGACUGAGACUCUGGGGUCUGGGACUCAGGACCUGAACUUUCCUUUUAGACUCUGUCCUGGGGAUGCAC